UACGUAGGGUGCAAGCGUUGUCCGGAAUUAUUGGGCGUAAAGAGCUCGUAGGCGGUUUGUCGCGUCGAAUGUGAAAACCCGGGGCUCAACUCCGGGCCUGCAUUCGAUACUGCCAAGCUAGAGUGCGGAAGGGGCAACUGGAAUUCCCAGUGUAGCGGUGAAAUGCGUAGAUAUUGGGAAGAACACCUGAGGCGAAGGCGGGUUGCUGGGCCGACACUGACGCUGAGGCGCGAAAGCCAGGGGAGCAAACGGG
rnacentral:rRNA from 1 species